rnacentral:rRNA from 1 species
UACGUAGGGUGCGAGCGUUAAUCGGAAUUACUGGGCGUAAAGCGUGCGCAGGCGGUCUUGUAAGCCAGAUGUGAAAUCCCCGGGCUUAACCUGGGAAUGGCAUUUGGGACUGCAAGGCUCGAGUUUGGCAGAGGAGACUGGAAUUCCUGGUGUAGCAGUGAAAUGCGUAGAUAUCAGGAGGAAUACCGAUGGCGAAGGCAGGUCUCUGGGCUGAAACUGACGCUCAUGCACGAAAGCGUGGGGAGCAAACAGG